rnacentral:rRNA from 1 species
GAUGAACGCUGGCGGCGUGCCUAAUACAUGCAAGUCGAGCGAACGGACGCGGCGCUUGCUUCUCUGUUGUUAGCGGCGGACGGGUGAAUAACACGUGGAUACCCUACCUAUAAGACUGGGAUAACUUCGGGAAACCGUAGCUUAUACCGGAUAAUCUUUUGAACCGCAUUGUUCAAAAGUGAAAGACGGUCUUGCUGUCACUUCUCGAUGCAUCCGCGCUGCAUUAGCUAGUUGGUAAGGUAACGGCUUACCACGGCAACGAUGCAUAACCGACCUGAGGGGGUGAUAGGCCACCUUGGAACUGAGACACGGUCAAGACGCCUACGGGAGGCAGCAGUAGGGAAUCUUCCGCAAUGGGCGAAAGCCUGGCGGAGCAACGCGGCGUGAGUGAUGAAGGUCUUGGGAUCGUAAAACUCUGUUAUGAGGGAAGAACAGAUGUGUAAGUAAAUGUGCACAUCUUGACGGUACCUAAUCAGAAAGCCACGGCUAACUACGUG